rnacentral:lncRNA from 1 species
AAAAGAGAGGUGGGGGCAUGUGCUCACUCUCAUUUCAAUUCUCAUUUCUCUCUCUUCAUGGCCUUUCUCUCUCUUUCUCUCUGAUCUAAAAAACACCAAACCACACCAUUUUAAAACUAUUUUGGAUCAAACGCGUGAAAAUCAUAUGAGCAUGGGAUGAAUCAAGAAGAACAUGUUCAUCCAUAUUUCUAGAUUUUACCAAAAACGUCCAUAUUGGAUGUUAUGUAAUGUUAGGAGAUGUAUGUAUGUAAGCCAUAUUGCAACCUCAUGUACCUCGUGUUCUUCCAUUCAAUAAAAUAGUAUUUAUUUUAAUUUAAUUAGUUUUGUUCAUUUUGCUUUAACUUCAAAUUUUGUUUAUGUUUUUCUUGUAAUGAAUGUAUGAUGAUGUGAUGAUGUGAUCGAGUAAUGUUGAUUCAAUUAUUUUUGAUUCA